rnacentral:lncRNA from 1 species
CUUGCUUACAGGAUCCAGUGUACAUAAAGCUAAUAACUUUCAAUGACUCUCAUUUUUUCCCUAGGUCUGCUUCACAUUAAGAUUUUAGACUGAUGUCUACAUUUCUCUUACCAUGGACAGUUGAACUAGUCAAGAUACAAAGAUAAGCUAUUGUGGUAGGAGGAUGGCCUAAGAAACUGAGAAAACAGCUGCUUUUGGAGAAGUCUUUGUCUAUAAUGUCGGUACGUCAGGUGGCUUCUGCAUGACUCAAAGCACCUCAAACUUCAGUGCACUUGAAGUACCCUUAGAGCAUAGUGACACAUGGUGUUCUGGGCCAGCUGGAAACAUAAACAUUACAAAGCAGCAGCAAACGUCUAUUACAUGAAACAUCAGUGAACUGCAAUAAGAAAAGAGCUGAGGAUUCUCAAGCAAGUCUGUAGUGAGUGGAGCGAUGCUGAGUCAUGUCUGUGAUAGAGGAGCCAAAGCAGAAUCUGCUCGCUAUCUUGUAGCUGUAUUGGCAGACACUUCUAGCUGAUCUAGAAGCACAUUAAAGAAGGUCUUUCUCACACUCGCGCAGCAGGAAUGCAUGCAGGAGGCAACCUCUGCUUGGAGCAGCAGCUGCUGUUGUGGCCAUGAGCAGGACUGCGGAGGCACUCGGGUGAGUUGGGGCGUGGGGGGCAGGACUCUGGCAGCGUGGGGCCGCAGGGGAAAUCAAAUGGAGCAGCUGUUAAAUUAGAGCUUCAGAAGGUAAUAAAGGUAAUAUCUUGAUGUAAUGCCUGCUUCA